rnacentral:tRNA from 1 species
GGCGCUGUGGCUUAGUAGGUAAAGCUGGCACGGGUUCGAGUCCCGGCUGCUCCA